rnacentral:rRNA from 1 species
CACCGCGGUUAUACGAGAGGCCCAAGCUGACAGCUACCGGCGUAAAGAGUGGUUAAUUUGCCCAAUAAACUAAAGCCGAACAUCUCCAAAGUUGUAAAACGCACUCGAAGAUAUGAAGCCCACCCACGAAAGUGGCUUUAUAACUCUUGAACCCACGAAAGCUAGGAAA